GGAAUUUUCCGCAAUGGGCGCAAGCCUGACGGAGCAAUGCCGCGUGCGGGAUGAAGUAUCUCUGGUAUGUAAACCGCUGUCAGGGGGCAGAAACAAUGAUUGCCCCCAGAGGAAGUGGCGACUAACUCUGUGCCAGCAGUCGCGGUAAUACAGAGGCCACGAGCAUUAGUCGGAAUCACUGGGCUUAAAGGGUGCGUAGGUGGCUUGCCAAGUGCUUUGUGAAAUCCCACGGCUCAACCGUGGAACAGCAGGGCAUACUGGCAAGCUUGAGGCAAGUAGGGGCUGACGGAACAGUAGGUGGAGCGGUGAAAUGCGUAGAUAUCUACUGGAACGCCGAUGGUGAAGACGGUCAGCUGGGCUUGUCCUGACACUGAGGCACGAAAGCGUGGGGAGCAAACAGGAUUAGAUACCCCUGUAGUC
rnacentral:rRNA from 1 species